GGAGGGUACAGCUCAGUGAUAGUGUGUGUGCUUAGCAUGCACAAGGUCCUGGGUUCAAUCCCCAGCACCUCCA
rnacentral:tRNA from 1 species